CCUGGGCUACAAAUCGCGGUUCCCGAUGGAUUUUCCACUGCUUCUGAUGUUCUUUUGGAUGCCACCGAUGAUAACUUUGAUCUCGCCCAAUACUUGUUUAGCGAGGGGACACCCGUUGCUGGCGACCAAAGUUACGUAGCUAGUAGAAUAGAAGAAGCUCCUAGCAGAGAACCUUUGAAUGAUGGGAGCGAAAUGCAGGUCGAUGACUUUAAAAUUGUGCAACCGAAAAAACACAAACGGAAAAGGAAAAAAAUGAGGACUGAUGAACAGAAAACACCUUUCAAUGCAAAUAUGAGAUUGGCAGCGCCAGUCAAAUCGCUCGAUUUGAAAGCUCGUAAAUAUGUUGUACAAAUGAAUGACCAAUCCAAAAACCGAGACGACGAAGAUGAGCCGGAUGUUGAUGUGGAAACAGUAUUUGAAGGGGAGCAUUCUGCUGCGACUUUGCUGGCCCUCCAGAUUUCUAAUGACCUUCGUCAUAAGGACGGUACUGAGUCGGAAAAACGUCCUGAGCGAACAACGAAUGCUGAUAAAGUUUCACCAGAUCUCCGUUUAGAGUUAAGUAGUAAUAAGAGAAGAAAAGUGCUGACCAAAAGUAAACCUAAAGGGAUGAAGAUGAAGAGACUGGUGCAGUCAACAAACCUGACGAGAACCGCUGGCUAUCUGAGAGGAAUGCUGGACGCAUUAGUGGUGAAAAUUAGGUUACCCCACUGAUAGCCUCUUUGCCAUUAAAAUCGAGAAAAUCACCGCAUCAAUCAGUUUUCCAAAAUUUGUUUUCCCCGCUUAUAAACAUUGAGGGACUUAUAUGGACAGGAUAUGGCCCACUCCAGACUCCCCGCUUGAGAAUGACUUCUCACCGUCGCCUAGAAAAGCACUGACCAAUCUGGAAGAAGUCACGAAUAAUGUCGAAGGUAUGGUUAAGACAGCACUUGGAGCAAGUUACCAGGGACAAGGAGAUUCUGGAUAAAAAGCUUCAUCUUAGCGUCACAACAAAAGCUAUAUGAACGCAGUACUAAUGAAUACUUACCCGAACGGGAUACGGACAAUGAAAAACACUACUAUAUGGAAACUUUCAGUUUUGGCGAGUUGGAUAGUAUCAUUCCUCCAGUUAUUCUGCUAACUGCCGGAGUCUUGGCUUCGAUGUCUCAAACUGAACUAGACAUGAGGACAAUGCAAGAAAAAAUCGAACCGUUGGAGAAAAAUUUCGAAAAGUUAAACGUAAGAAGUAGCUUGGAAUUUAGCGGCAGUCUGGAUCAGCUAGAGUCUGAACUCAGUUUAUCGACAAUAGAUAACACCACAGACUCCCAACACAAGCUGGACUAGUCGAAUACAACAUUCAGUGAACCAUCGGACAACAAUUGUCCUAAGCAAGAAUUCUGGACCGAAAAGACUACAGAGUUGGUUGGAAAAAAUAAAACCCAAUUUGCUAAGGUUUUUUCCCAUUUUUCUCUUUCAAUCAAUUUCAAUGGCCUUAAGGCAAACUCAGAAGAAUGACAGAAAUUGGACCAUUUAUUUGGAGGUGCAUAAAGAAGCUAAAUUAAAACAAAAAAAUGUCCAGAUUUCGCGUUUUCGGUCUUUAUUGCGAAAUGCUUAUCUCUUUUACGCCGAGAAAGAAUACAACAGCAAGAACGUAGGCCGAUGAAACCAGGAACGCUCCGAGCAUUUUUCUCCACUUUGAGUGUUCUUUUACAAUUUUGUCUACACAAUUGUCCUUGUAAGAGUCAAGUUUAGUGCAAAGCACCGUGUGACGGGGGCAACAUUCUGGAAUUAAAUGGGUAACGUUUCGGAGA